GAACAACUCCAUCGUGGGAUACUAUGGUAACCAUUUAAUAAAAGGCAAGGUUUUUGCAAUUCUCAAUCGCUGACUCUUAAAAUGUCAUCCCAAUUUCCCAAUCCUUAAGAAGUGAAUGUAGUUCCCCCUAUUCCAGCGCUUGAGCUUAAGAGCAACGCUAUACUAACUAAUUAAAUUUCCACCGUUUAUUCUAAAUCUCAAAGUUACAUAAAUUUGGUUGCGUAUCUUCAUUUGGUUUCAUUUCAUACUCACUCUGUCACCGCCAUGGAUCCCAACCCAGGAACCUUCCCCAUCCUCUCCUACGUCAUGUCUCGUCUCCAAUCUUUUAAAACCAAAACUCCAACCGAAGAUCCCCAAUCUCAAUUCGACGUCGAACAACCCCAACCGUCAGAUCCUUCAUCUUCAUCUUCUUCUUCAAUCGUUGGCCAAAUGCCCAAUCUCACAGACCCCAAAUUGUUAGCCGCAAUGACCCGGGCCAUCUCAGAUGUUUCACAGGCCCGAUCAGUCCUAAAUAUCAUCGGCGACAGGCCCACCCACGAGGAAGUGGACAACGCCAAAGCCAAACUGGUCGAUCUCGAAGCCCAUUUAUCUCGUCAAUUGGAAGAGAUCGUUAUGCUUCCGAGGCCUCCCGAAAUUGACGAACAACAAUGGCGGAUUCACCUUACCGAAAGAGAGAAGCAAUGCAGGGAAUCAGCUGAGAAUGAGAAGCGCGUUUACAAGUCUCUGUUGCAAAGUGAUGAGAUGCACGAUGCUUACGAGAAGCUACUCAAGGAUGCAGAGACGCGGCUUGUGAAGAUUUAUGAGGAUGAUGGUGAGAACGAUAACGAUGGUGAUGGUGAUGUGGUUAACGAUGGGGAAUGUGAAGAACACGUUGCGAAGAUAUUGCAGGAGGCGCGUGAAAAAGCUCUUGACCGAGUGGAUCUUACGGAACAACGGUUGAGAACGCUUCCUGAGGCAUUUUGUAACAUUUCUUCGUUGGUGGUUCUCAAUCUCUCCACCAAUCAACUUUCGGUUAUUCCUGACACAAUAGCUGAGUUGCAAACUCUUGAGGAGCUUAAUAUCUCUUCAAAUCUUUUGAAGUCACUUCCAGAUUCAAUUGGUUUGUUGCAAAAGUUGAAAAUCCUCAAUGUCUCUGGAAAUAAGUUGACUGCCCUUCCUGAUUCCAUUAGUCAGUGCAGAUCAUUGGUGGAGUUGGAUGCAAGCUUUAAUAGUCUGUCAUAUUUGCCAACAAAUAUCGGAUAUGAAUUACAGAAUUUACAGAAGCUUUUGAUUAGUUUAAACAAGAUACGAUCCCUUCCUUCAUCUGUUUGUGAGAUGAAGUCGUUGCGCUAUCUAGAUGCUCACUUUAAUGAACUACAUGGGCUUCCUAUUGCAAUUGGGAGAUUAACUAGUCUUGAAGUUCUCAACCUGAGUAGUAACUUUAGUGACCUUCAAGAAAUACCAGAGACAUUUGGUGAUCUGAGUAGCCUCAAGGAAUUGGAUCUCAGCAACAAUCAAAUUCAUGCACUUCCUGAUACAUUUGGUCGCCUUGAUAGUUUAAUCAAGAUAAACUUGGAUCAGAACCCUAUUGAAUUGCCACCUAUGGAGGUUGUCAAUCAAGGGGUCCAAGCCAUUAAGUCUUACAUGGCCAAGAGGUGGAUUGAUAUAUUGGCAGAGGAGGAGAGCAAAAACACACAUGAACUUCAAGAACAAGGACAGAAUGGUUGGUUAACACGAAGUACAUCCUGGUUGAAAAAUGUUUCGGGAAAUGUAACCGAGUAUAUCGGAAGUACCAUGUCCCCUAGAACUCCCAAAGAGAAUUAUCUUGAUCAAGAGCUAUGAGUUUAUGAAGUGGCAGUCUAGCAAGCAUUGGGGACUUGCUACUGGAAGCUGCCUAAUGUUAUCACCUAGCUAGGGAGAGUGAAUGACCAUUCUCUCCCGAAUACCUACUCAGCGCUAAUAGGCGAAGCCACAUCAACCGCACAUCUAGUGAGAUAGUGAGAUAGAGCUUGCAAGGGAGAGUUAAAGAUAGAGGAAAAGGAAAGAGGAGAACUGCAAUCUACCACAUAUGGAGGCCAUGAGUGGUGGCGAGGUCAUCAUUGUAGUGAACGUGGCCACGUUGAAGCUCUGUUGGCGAAGCACUUCGAGAUCAACGUUACAAUGUGACUGAAUGAGUAUGUUGCAUCCUACGACAAUGACACGCCAAAAGGCAGGUUUGCUGCAGAGUGGCGGUGAUCAUCCCUCUCUACAUCUCCUCCCUUACUUCCUUCUGUAUGCAAGUUUUUUUUAUGAUGAUUUUUCUUCUCUCCUCUGAUUUUUGUUUAAGUUAUACAUGUUCUUGUGCUUUUUGGGUUGAUGUUGUUCUUUCUAUUUUUGGGGUUAAAGGCUACACUCACAAUGAGAAGGAAGUGAUAUUGGCUUUGUGAUUAACAAUGGAGUCAUAGGAUCUGGGCAUGGAGUUGUGUUUGUGUGGAGAAGGAGAUGAAUAGAGGGCGAUUGAUAAUGUUAAAUUAUAUAAUAGAUGGAGAUGCUUUUGGUGUCUCUAUCAUCACUGGUGGACAAAGCGAAGAGGAUGAUUGUUUUAGUGUGUUUGUGAGUUUAGGAGGGGAGAGGAAGAUUUUGAAAAAAAGGAAUGAAGUGGAAAAAAUGGAAGGCUUUGGACGAGGAGGAUUUUGGGGUGUUUAUUUGUGAGAUUUUGGAGGGUUUUUAUAAAUUCUUUAAAUCCAAUCUACGUUGUUAUAUUACUCUCAAUAAUAAAAACAUUGUUAUAUUACUCUCAAUAAUAAAAACACAUUAACCAUAAACAUUCAUUUAUAGUUCUCUAAAAAAAAUGAUUUUUUUUUCUCUUCCCUCCUCCCUCCAAAAACCCUCUCGUCCAAACUCCCAAACAAAAUCUGAGUGUUACUUAGGGGCUCUCAUGUGAAUAGAUGCAUGAGGAGAAAAACUGGUGUGAUGGGUUUUGAUAGAUCUAGGACAUGCUAUCCUAGUAUUAUCCUUGAAAUCAUUUAAUAAUGAGUAAAUAUUCAAAAUCUACCCCGAAAUUUGGCACUCACACGAGGCGAAUCCCUUGCCUUGUCGAAACUCCAAAAUCAUCCAUGACUUUAAUAAAUGUUGAUUAGUUUGGUCUCUGUCGGUCUGAGUUUGUUAACAAAAAAUGAUACAUGCAAAGAGUUUCCAACUCUCUAUACUAUUGUUGACUUCUUCCUAUUUUUUCC